GAUGAACGCUGGCGGCGUGCCUAAUACAUGCAAGUCGAGCGAACAGAUAAGGAGCUUGCUCCUUUGACGUUAGCGGCGGACGGGUGAGUAACACGUGGAUAACCUACCUAUAAGACUGGGAUAACUUCGGGAAACCGGAGCUAAUACCGGAUAACAUAUUGAACCGCAUGGUUCAAUAGUGAAAGGCGGCUUUGCUGUCACUUAUAGAUGGAUCCGCGCCGUAUUAGCUAGUUGGUAAGGUAACGGCUUACCAAGGCAACGAUACGUAGCCGACCUGAGAGGGUGAUCGGCCACACUGGAACUGAGACACGGUCCAGACUCCUACGGGAGGCAGCAGUAGGGAAUCUUCCGCAAUGGGCGAAAGCCUGACGGAGCAACGCCGCGUGAGUGAUGAAGGUCUUCGGAUCGUAAAGCUCUGUUAUCAGGGAAGAACAAAUGUGUAAGUAACUGUGCACAUCUUGACGGUACCUGAUCAGAAAGCCACGGCUAACUACGUG
rnacentral:rRNA from 1 species